UACAGAGGGUGCGAGAGUUAAUCGGAAUUACUGGGCGUAAAGCGCAGGUAGGUGGCGACGUAAGUCGGGUGUGAAAGCCCCGGGCUCAACCUGGGAAUUGCAUUCGAGACUGCAUUGCUGGAGUACGGAAGAGGAGGGCGGAAUUCCCGGUGUAGCGGUGAAAUGCGUAGAUAUCGGGAGGAACAUCAGUGGCGAAGGCGGCCCUCUGGUCCAGUACUGACACUCAAGAGCGAAAGCGUGGGGAGCAAAUAGG
rnacentral:rRNA from 1 species